UGCAGGAUCAACCAGGUAGCAUUCCUCUGGGACUUCGAGUUGCAAGACGUAAAACGUCUAUGCGACAUCGAACGUCAAUCGAAUGGGGCGUGUAAUGCCAAUUUGUGGGAAAAUAGAGAGGUCAAGGACCCCUUUACCCGCAAUAGUGUUUUUUGCAUCCCCGAAGUCAAGCUACACUCGUGGGCCGUGAUUGCAUAGCAAUUUGUAUGCAAAUCAGAACACAAAUUUCACUUUGAGGUUCACCCGAAGCCGCACCGCGUAAACGGGCAGCAGUAGGAGAACUUGGGAUGGGUUGCCCGACAAAUUCCAUCGAUGUAGGUAUGCAACACAGGAAACCAACAGCUCGGCCAAGGCAACAGAGGCUCUUGUGCCAAAUAUGAAGAGGAAUGCACGAAAGGACGUCGCUACCAAAGUAGGGAUCCAA
rnacentral:misc_RNA from 1 species